AACGAACGCUGGCGGCAUGCCUAACACAUGCAAGUCGAACGAGACCUUCGGGUCUAGUGGCGCACGGGUGCGUAACGCGUGGGAACCUGCCCUUAGGUUCGGAAUAACUCCCCGAAAGGGGUGCUAAUACCGGAUAAUGUCUUCGGACCAACGAUUUAUCGCCUUUGGAUGGGCCCGCGUUGGAUUAGCUAGUUGGUAGGGUAAAAGCCUACCAAGGCGACGAUCCAUAGCUGGUCGGAGAGGAUGAUCAGCCACACUGGGACUGAGACACGGCCCAGACUCCUACGGGAGGCAGCAGUGGGGAAUAUUGGACAAUGGGCGAAAGCCUGAUUCAGCAAUGCCGCGUGAGUGAUGAAGGCCUUAGGGUUGUAAAGCUCUUUUACCCGGGAUGAUAAUGACAGUACCGGGAGAAUAAGCACCGGCUAACUCCGUG
rnacentral:rRNA from 1 species